rnacentral:rRNA from 1 species
GAUGAACGCUGGCGGCGUGCCUAAUACAUGCAAGUCGAGCGAACAGACGAGGAGCUUGCUCCUCUGACGUUAGCGGCGGACGGGUGAGUAACACGUGGAUAACCUACCUAUAAGACUGGGAUAACUUCGGGAAACCGGAGCUAAUACCGGAUAAUAUAUUGAACCGCAUGGUUCAAUAGUGAAAGACGGCUUUGCUGUCACUUAUAGAUGGAUCCGCGCCGCAUUAGCUAGUUGGUAGGGUAACGGCUUACCAAGGCAACGAUGCGUAGCCGACCUGAGAGGGUGAUAGGCCACACUGGAGCUGAGACACGGUCCAGGCUCCUGCGGGAGGCAGCAGUAGGGAAUCUUCCGCAGUGGGCGAGAGCCUGACGGAGCGACGCCGCGUGAGUGAUGAAGGUCUUCGGAUCGUAAAACUCUGUUAUUAGGGAAGAACAAAUGUGUAAGUAACUAUGCACGUCUUGACGGUACCUAAUCAGAAAGCCACGGCUAACUACGUG